rnacentral:rRNA from 1 species
ACGUACACUCCUGCGGGAGGCAGCAGUGGGGAAUAUUGCACAAUGGGCGCAAGCCUGAUGCAGCCAUGCCGCGUGUAUGAAGAAGGCCUUCGGGUUGUAAAGUACUUUCAGCGGGGAGGAAGGCGAUAAGGUUAAUAACCUUGUCGAUUGACGUUACCCGCAGAAGAAGCACCGGCUAACUCCGUGCCAGCAGCCGCGGUAAUACGGAGGGUGCAAGCGUUAAUCGGAAUUACUGGGCGUAAAGCGCACGCAGGCGGUCUGUCAAGUCGGAUGUGAAAUCCCCGGGCUCAACCUGGGAACUGCAUUCGAAACUGGCAGGCUAGAGUCUUGUAGAGGGGGGUAGAAUUCCAGGUGUAGCGGUGAAAUGCGUAGAGAUCUGGAGGAAUACCGGUGGCGAAGGCGGCCCCCUGGACAAAGACUGACGCUCAGGUGCGAAAGCGUGGGGAGCAAACAGGAUUAGAAACCCUAGUAGUCCCAUGAU